AUAUGAACACAUGGAGGUGUGCAGUAAAUACUCCUUAAUUGAUGAAAAGGCAGACAUAUAUGUGAAGAUUUUUAGGGAAAUACUUUUUUGGGGAAAUAGCAGCCAGUUUAAGUUGGUAACAUAAAUGGUGCCAGAUGAAAUCAUAUUGACUGAGACCAAAGUCCAGCCAAUAUGAAAUCGCUCUCAAAUGUAAUGACUUUAGCAUAAAAAUUCUGAGUGGUUUCCCACAUCUCGUUAACCUUUGUACUGCUCUGCAGCCGUAGGGGCCAGGCAUUCUCAUAGGGCACUAAGGAAGUGAGAGGUGUGCCUUAAGGUGUGGCUGUAACUCACAUUUCUGGACUUCCAUUAUCAUCCUGUCUAAUCCUAUCAUCACCCUGCUGCAUCUGGCAAAAUCCCCCUGUUCUUGAGCCUCCAAGUGGGUGAAUUGGCUCCCAUAUCACCUCAUUCCUGCUGUUGGCACAGGGCUAGUCCACGGUGUCGCAACUGUUUGUUUAGUGUCUGUCUUUCCCAUACAAGCUCCUCCAGGGCACAGAUCCAGAAUUAUACACCCCAACAUCCCAGUAACUCCCACAGUGUCUGGUAGGUAAUAGUUUAAUAAAAGCUGGUUGAAUGAAAGAGCAGGUACAUUCUUUGGUGUUCAGAGUUAUUAAUUCCGUUUGUUGUUGGUGUUUUCUUGUGGUAGAUUUCGAGUCUUGCUUCUCAUAGUUAUUUUUUUUUCCUA
rnacentral:lncRNA from 10 species